rnacentral:rRNA from 1 species
CCUACGGGAGGCUGCAGUGGGGAAUAUUGCGCAAUGGGCGAAAGCCUGAUGCAGCGACGCCGCGUGAGGGAUGAAGGUCUUCGGAUCGUAAACCUCUGUCAGCAGGGAAGAACGGUCACUGUGCUAAUCAGCAGUGAAUUGACGGUACCUGCAAGGGAAGCACCGGCUAACUCCGUGCCAGCAGCCGCGGUAAUACGGAGGGUGCGAGCGUUAAUCGGAAUUACUGGGCGGAAAGCGAUCGUAGGCGGUAUGUCAAGUCAAGGGUGAAAUCCCCGCGCCAAACGGGGGAACUGCAUUUGAAACUGGCAAACUAGAGUGUAGCAGAGGAAAGUGGAAUUCCAGGUGUAGGAGUGAAAUCCGUAGAUAUCUGGAGGAACAUCAGUGGCGAAGGCGACUAUCUGGCACAUAACUGACGCUGAGGAGCGAAAGCGUGGGUAGCAAACAGGAUUAGAUACCCUAGUAGUC